rnacentral:lncRNA from 1 species
GCCUACUUCUGGGCUCUUUUCUCUACCCCUUUUCCUUUCUGCUUCCAUUCCCUUCCUCCCUGGUAUAGUUUCCCAGUCUCCUCCCUUCCCCUUGAGCAGCGAUCUCAAGAUAAACAGCUGGGGGAGAGGAGCUGUGGAAAUGUCCAAUCAGGGAAGGUUAUUAAUCCAGGAUUCUAAUUAUGGUGUUGCCCUGUGUCUCUUGCAUGGUAACAAGCCAGCCUCAACUGCUUAAGCUAAGAAAAAGCUCAGUGUUUCCUUCAAGCUGCAUCGUGGACAGAUUCCUGCCAGACCCUUCAGAGCAAGCACCCCGCACCCCUGGCCCAGGGUCUGUUCCCUGAUAGGGGGUGAUCUGUCUGCCCCUCACUGUUUUCUCCAAAUAGCAUCUCCAAAUGGACUGGACUCCGCAAGCAAGCACUCUGCAGUGGACCCCUUGGGUCAUCCAUUCUGAUGGAAACAGUGAGUGGAAUUAAUCCUAAGUCUGUGAAUUUGGGCAGCUCAUCGACUCUCUCAGCUUUAUCCUCACCGGCUCAAGCCUUCUCCACAGCCCAGCCACGUGAGGGAGUCGUCAGCACUGGAACCCAGGGUCCACGGCCUCGGAGGAUCCGGACCCCCUCUGCAUUUGAGGAACUUGGCCUCCAGUCAGGGAGCCAAGAAGUCCCUGCCAAUCAAGGAGGGGGUGUGGGUUGGUGGGGGAGGCAGCCUUGGGGCAUGGGAGCUAAUAGACCAAGCUUGAGGGUUCUACUCCUGACUUCUGGAUUUUUCCACCUCUGUAUGGAAUAUGUUCCUUCUGUCUAACACUGUGUGAUUUGGGGACCAUCCAACUCAAAUGAAAGAAGCCAAGCCAUGCAGUGAGCCACCCCCUCCCCAAUGUGGGGUGCCCUCUGCCCCCCACCCAGCUCCCCUGCCCUCCCAGCUGAGGGAGGAUCGCCGCCUGGUGAUCUCAGCCUCCCCUCCGAGUGGGCUGUGAAGUGUCUAAUCCAGGCUUUCAUCUGGCAUCCACAAUUAUAAUGUCAAGAUUGAAUAAUCUGCCUUUAUCUCCCGGGUGACAGCCAUGUAGAAACUUCAAAAGAAACAGUUUUGCUGGCAUCUAACGGCUUUUGUUAAUUACUAUAUCCCAAAGAAAAUGAAAUAAAGGAGGGAG